UCCCUUUGGAGGGGAAAGGCGCAACCUGGAAGGCAUCCCGCGCUUGGGAGGCGGCGCGAGUGCCUGCUACGACAGAGCAGCCGGUGCUGCGCGUGCCCCGGGCGCCGCGGUUGGGCUGUGGGGCGCAGCGCUGAAGGGGAGGGGAGGCGCAUACCGCCUGACCGCCCGCGGGCCGAGCGCCGCUUCGGAGCACCCCUGGCGCUGCAGGCCAGUGGCGGGCAGGGCCGAACGCAAAGCGGUGGGCCCCCUGCAUACUGCACUGUAAAGCGGUUCCUGCCAGUACCUAAGCCGCGGGACAGGCACCUCUGCUUUGCCAAAUGAAAAAGAAGAAGGAUUUGAAUUGUCAACUGGGCGGCUAGACAUUUUUCUCAGUAUGACUCAGGCUGGAAUGAGGCUCCAACCGCAGAUCAAAGGGAAAUGGCAUCAUGAAAAGGGGUCAAGGAGAGGAUGAUGUUGGAACACUCACAGGGUUUGGGUGUCUUCUCUUCAGUCUGCAUCUUGCUCCCGUCUGCCUCCUCACUAUUAUUUUGGUCUGUACCACUGUUUCCCUUGCCCUCUGUAGUGGGCGCCUGGGAACCUAAAUGAUUUGGAAAGUACACAUGGGAAUUUACAGUCAUAGGCAGAAGAGCCUUUUUGACUGGCAUAUCUGAGCAUCCAGAGAAAGAGAGAGGGAAAGAGAGAAAACUGAGACAGAUGAGAAAUUUGACGAGAUAAGCAGGAGAAAUCCAUUGAGAAAGAGAAGAUUUAACAGGAAGAGAAGAUGGAAGUGUAAUCCAGAGUAAGAAAGAGAAAACCAGAAGAAAUAGAAAAGAAGAAUAGCAUAUAGAGGGAUGUGCUGACAUAAGGUAUUCUGCAAGAUUUCUCAUCUGACUACAGUUGUAAUCCACUGAUUGAACAUCGUAAGCUCAGCCUCCAUCAGUAUUGCUAUUUGAACAGCUGAAUUCAUUGUUCUUUGGUUUUUAUAAUUUCUAAUGGAACCCCACAGUGCACAGCAUGUGUGGUUUCCCAGACUGCAGCAUAUGAUUAAAACACUGUUUGAGGACUCCUGCCUUGCAAGGGGAAGCAAUGAUAAAGCUGUGGACCAUGAAAUGAACAAUUACAACUGGGAGCUUGUAGAAACAGCCAGGAGUACUAGUGUUGCAAUGAUCAGAACACAGUCCAUUAUCACAUGAUGUUAAUCUUAUCUUAUUUAUUUCCACUGCAACCGAUUCUGGCUUACUUGUGACUUGCAUAUAUAUGUCCACAAUCAGAGGACAUUGAGAAAAAUGAAACUUUUAGAGUACAAACUUUACUUGAGGCUGUUUACUGACUGAUGGGUUGUUGAUUUGAGAAAACAAUAUUUUAUCACGCUCCUCAGUUCAGUACACUGGGCCAAUAUUCAGGUCACAGGGUCCAACCUUAUUGUGCAGUUAUGCUUUUGUCAUAUUGGUGCCAGAGAAAAAGGAAAACAAAUCAGGCAAGCUGAUCUCUUUAUCACAUAAGCCGAUGAAGACUUCUGUAUAACUUGCAUAUUGGAGCUCUUACAGAAAUAUGAAUCUCUCUCUUCUCUCUCUCAAGUUAUAGUGAGCAAGAGAGAGAGAGAGAGAGAGGUGUUCAUGUGUGUGUUUGUACUGAUUGGAGGUAUAGGCCAAAACUCCUAGAGGGUCACUUGUUGUCAGAGCCUGGUAUGUGUGUGUGUGUGUAAUUCACCAUGGUCUAGUUUGAAGCAAUUUAUAUAUUAUGUAACAAACCAUGGGUUAAUUGCUGGGUUGUUUAGCCCCUCAGUAACCCACUGCACUGGGUUUGGAUGAUAUGAUAACGGUGUAAGACACAUUCAAUCAUAGCUUGUUAAUUAAAAGUGGAAGUGGCAGAUGCAUGACAAGCAGCACAUCCACUAUCUCCUGCCAAUUUGAGGGUUAAACAAAUUUAUUUCACUUGCAAACAAGAUCAAUGAUUUAUGGUGUGGUAUAAUGAACAAGUGAAUAAAGGUCUCUAAUUAUUCAGGUGCCCAUUCCCUUAUUUUCAGUUCCCUAAAUCUUCAGUUAUGAUUCCUGAUAUUGUAAAUGAAUGAGGAACUGAAUGAGUUAAGAGUAUUUUAAUAUCUGAUAUGUCAGUUAAGCCAGUGCUUGAUUCUUUAAACCUAUGCAUGUAUGUGUACAUGGAAUAGGAUAUCAGUUCCACUGAAAGCUGAGAAUCUCUUUUCCAUGUUUAUCUCUUUUCCCAAGGACAUUUUGUAAAAUAAAAAUUCUAUGAUUAAGACACCCUACUAGUACCCCAUUCAAGGGCAAUAGACAAAAGAGAGAGAAGAAGAAGAAGAAGAAGAAGUAGAAGAGAGGAGAGAGAAGAGGAGAAAGAGAAAAGGACUGAUAGAAUAAGUAAG